CUGCUCCUCUGUUCCCCGUACUGCGCCCAUGCCGGCGCCCCGGCACAGCACCGAUGACCACCACGCGUCGCCGCCCCGGCAAACCUCGUGCUGUACCUCGAGCGCGUCCUUAUCCUCCCGCGGCACCCUAUCCUCUCCCGAGCUUCUUGUUUCCUUUCCCCUUUCCCUUCUUCCUCCUCGAGCUCAGUUGAGCUGAGCCGAGCAGAGCUACCACCGGCGCUGGCCGGCCAUUCCCCGCCGUCCCGCUUUGAUUCCUCGCGCCCAAACUGCUCGACCUCGUUCUCCACCUCCGCCGCCCCUCCCCAAACCCGUUCGAGCCGUUCCCUGUCCGAAUCGGACCCCGCCACCACCGGCCGCCACUGCUCCUCUGCCGGGCAGCCGCCCCCGCACGUCGAGUUCAACCCUCCGGUCCUCCUCCCCCCAAAUCGAGUACCCGGUGAGCAGCACCGCACCACCAUCGACCUCUCCAGCCCCUUUCCCGGCCAUCUUGCUUGCCGCGCCGCCGGAAACACAGCCCCGCCGCCGCGGCCAGAGCUGCCAUGGCCGCCAAGCCCGAGCUCGCGUGGCAGCGCCCCUUGCCUCCCUUUCAGCGCCCUAGAACCCGAGCCUAGGUCCCUCGUAGGCACCUGCAGUCCCACGCCGCCCCCGUGUCCUCACUGGCAGUGGCGAGCGUGCCGCCGCCCCCCAGCCGCUAGCGCUGCCAUGCGCUCAUCUCUGGUCGCCUCAGCACAAGAUGCUCCAACACGGUGGCUCCUCCAUGUGCUGGUGCUCUUCUCCAGCACUGCAACACAUCCAUACGCAGUCAGCAGCAGCAGGUACGCUAGAUGUGCAAUGCGUAAGCAUGUGCUGACGGACCGAACCACAAGACAGUGUUUGGUGAACAUAUCCCGAAGAGAGAAGGACCAACUGGAGCAACCGUGGACUCGGCUCAAGGUUGGAAGGGACCAAGGCCUUGAUAGUACUAACACUAGUUUAGUGUUACUCCCAGGCAAGCCCUGGAGCAUGACCCUUAAUUUUAGUAUUCCAUGUUUAUUAAUUAAUUAUUGUGCAUUUACGUUUCUAGGAGUUGAUUGGAACCCUAAAUGCAUGAUC